rnacentral:rRNA from 1 species
GAGAGUUAAACAGUACGUGAAAUUGUUGAAAGGGAAACGAUUGAAGCCAGUCGUACCUAUGGGUAAUCAGCCUUUUGGGUGUGAUUUUGUGGAGCGUGAGGAGUUAAACGCCUUCAUGCCUGCAUAUUCGUGCACUUUGGGUGUACUUGCCCGUGUGUAAGUUAACAUCAAUUUUGGUGGUCAUAAAAUGGCUGGAGGAAUGUAGCUUCGAUCUUGUAUUGAAGUGUUAUAGCCUUCGGUAGAUGUGACGAUCGGGAUUGAGGAUUGCAACGGAUACCCUUCGGGGCUACCUGUCUGAUCUCUGAUUGUUGCUCUGGUGCCGAAAGCUUGCUUACGGUUAUCAAAGUCGAUGGUCAAUAGGUUAGAAUGGGUUAAAUUCGUUAAGGAUGUUGACGUAAUGGCUUUAAACGA